UGGGGAACUUUGGACAAUGGGCGCAAGCCUGAUCCAGCCAUGCCGCGUGCGGGAAGAAGGCCUUCGGGUUGUAAACCGCUUUUGUCAGGGAAGAAAUCUUCUGAGUUAAUAUCUCGGGAGGAUGACGGUACCUGAAGAAUAAGCACCGGCUAACUACGUGCCAGCAGCCGCGGUAAUACGUAGGGUGCAAGCGUUAAUCGGAAUUACUGGGCGUAAAGCGUGCGCAGGCGGUUUUGUAAGACAGAGGUGAAAUCCCCGGGCUCAACCUGGGAACUGCCUUUGUGACUGCAAGGCUUGAGUGCGGCAGAGGGGGAUGGAAUUCCGCGUGUAGCAGUGAAAUGCGUAGAUAUGCGGAGGAACACCGAUGGCGAAGGCAAUCCCCUGGGCCUGCACUGACGCUCAUGCACGAAAGCGUGGGGAGCAAACAGGAUUAGAUACCCUGGUAGUCCACGCCCUAAACGAUGUCAACUGGUUGUUGGGAAGGUUCCUUCUCAGUAACGUAGCUAACGCGUGAAGUUGACCGCCUGGGGAGUACGGCCGCAAGGUUGAAACUUAAAUGAAUUGACGGGGUCAUAGCUGUUU
rnacentral:rRNA from 1 species